rnacentral:lncRNA from 1 species
GACGCCGUGUUGAGGUCUAAUCCAUGGUGAGUUCAUAAGCAGGACCAGAGACACUCGUGGCCUUUUCUCUGGUACCCCCAGGCCCCUCCGCAGAUCAUGAACCCUAUUUUUAGCUUUUCCUAUCUCAGCAAGACCUUGUGAAAAUCUUUGGAUGCUACUGGAGAGAGGCUGGGACUUAAAGCCCCUUGCAAGAGCUGGUCCCUCAAGUAAUGACUCAAGACCAUUUUUCUGCACACGAAUAUACAAAGGAAAGCGUGAAGUCACCCGCAGCCUGCGAAGCUGAAUUCCCAGUUCUCGAGGCAAAGGAACAAGGGGCAAGCUGAGAGCUCAGGGGCCGCCGUGGUUGCACGCCAGCGAUUAACAGAGCCGCUUCAUCAGCAAACACGUGUGGAACAGAACCAAGACUGCAAAUAUUUCAUAAAAAGAGAAAGGGCUAAAUGAAUCGAGUAAAAUGUUUGCUGUGAAUUGCUUGGCUGCUCGUAACUGGAAGGCUGCAUUUCUACAGCCCAGUAUGACUUUUUUUUUUUCUUUUUUUUAAUUUUCCUUUUCCUUUCAGCAAAACCACCAACAUCUCAGGAUCCGAGCCGUGCCUUGCUGAUGGUUUGGGGUGAUAUUUUCCUCUGCACCAUUGGGCUGUUAUUAAUGAACUGCCAAACCUGGGGAAAAAAAUGGACCCAAGUGUGUCCG